rnacentral:rRNA from 1 species
AAUCAACACCAUACCAUGUUGAAAGCACCGGUUCUCGUCCGAUCACUGCAGGUAAGCAACGUUGGACCCGGUCAGUACUUGUACGUCUCCAAAUGCUAUGGUACGACUGAGGGUGGGAAGAGUC